CGGCAAUGUUUAGUUCAAGUGACAGGUUAACCUCUGAUAAUUGAGACACUAUCCUCUCCUACCUGGAAACAGAUUGGUUUAAAAGUUUAGAAUCAACAACAGCUCUGCCACACAAAGUCUGAGAUUGGGACCAAAGAGUGCUGAAGCAUGAAUUGUGUAAAAAGCUUCUCUCAAAUGCAACACUCACUACAGAGUUCCAAACUGGGUCUGAAAGCAAUGUAUGCACAAGGACUGUUUGGAUGAAGCCAAUCUUCAGCUGGAGACCUGAAUGGCUCCUCCUGCGCCUACGUUCCUCUCCUGAUGGGCUUGGUCAAUCUCGCAUGAGAGGUUUAUGUACUUCAAGCGGCAAUGCCCCUUAAAACUUGAUAGAGUUUGGGCUCUGUGAAAAUCCUCCAGAUGAGCCCAUAGGAGACGUCACAUGUCAGAUUCUGCCCCAAGUCAUUCAGUGGUAUAUCUGGGAAAUUCACUGCUCUGCAGGAAAUAUUCUCUGGCUUCU